AAGGGAACAAAACAGCUUUCAAAACAACAUUGUGGAUGGGAGAGAAGCGGGGAGGUACGAAUAAGGGGUCUAGGCUUCACCCUAGGCUGCCAGGAAGGAUCAGUCACUCUCCCCAGUAAAUUAAGGAAAGUCCAGAAAGAAGAGAGAGUGAUUUCGGGAAGCAGUAGGGGUGGACAGAAGAGGUACCCUCCUCCCCCUUGGACUUGGAAAAACAGAGCCAGCACUCUCCUGGCCAUGAGUCAGAAAGUGGAGCUGUAGGGGGUGGCUGCAGAACCACAGGGUACAUUUUUUCACUCUUUCAUUAUGUCACCUUAAAGAAAUUAAGUAAAACUGCCAGUAAGGAAAAAAGAAAGCUAAUAGUGGGGAUAUUGCUCAAAGGCAGAAAAUUAGUUAAACAUUACAUUGGGGUUUCACAACAGGUUGGUGUACUGAUUUUCUCACAGCUCCUUAAUGAGUCUUGGAAAAAAAGAUAUAAUUUUAAUGUGGUCUUGAUUGCUUUAUUCUCAGGUCAGCCUGAGAAUUUUCUCAUGACGUUAAUUAUUCAUUUUUGUAAGAAGCCUGCAUAAAUAAAAGUACAAGUACCGGGUGUCCAGUGUGGCAUUUCAGGAGCUUGGAGAAAGAGGAUAGAGAAGGUGAGAGCUGGGGGAAAAUUGAGAGGUGGCCAGAAAGAGAGGCUUUGGUCAUUUCCAGAGUCAUGGAGUUGCAGAGAACUAGCUUUAGGCAUUGCAUGUAAUUUAAUGUUCUUCAAUGUCCUGUAGCCUAAGACCACCUGGAACACACCUGUAGUCAACAAAGUUAGGCUGAUUAACGCCACAGCAAGGGAAACUGCACGCUGUGGGGAAGCUUGAGGCAUCUCAAAAGGGUGGAUUAAGACAAGGGCACCCAAUAAAGCUUUGGGGGCUGGAGUUAGUCACAGGAUGGUGUUGGCAGGAUUUCAUCAGAUUCUGUAAACUGGGGAGUUUCUGGAAAAGUAAGUGGUCUUAUCUUUGGGAUUCACAAGUCUGUGUGGAGUUACUGACAGGUCAAUUUCUCUAUGGUCUUAUCUGGGAACAAAUGGGCCUGAAAGAGCUGGUGUUUCAAGGUUUGAACUUAGAUCGUCUGUGAUGCCCACCACGGUGUGGUCGGGAGAAAUUGGCCUGCUUCGAAACUGAGGCUUAUGUUUUGAAAAUUGUGGUUUCUGUUUUCAUUCUCGGUCCCUGUCAUCUCUCUGCCAACAUGAACCCCAGUCUGCCAGUCUACCUUUUUCAUUUACUCACUAUUUUUCUAUCCCAUCGUUAUGGUUAUUCUACUGACAUGCUACAUGUAACAUAAAGAGCCCUACAGCUGCAUAACCUCCUGAGAGAGGGCUUCUUUAGUUUGCAAUGGAGAACUGGAGAUGGUGCUCAUUCACAGAUAUCUAACACUCGGUAAGUCAUCUUGUUUGACCACUCCCUCCUCACAGGUCUGUGCCUUAACUGUGCAUGUGAAAUAUUAUAUAUCUUAGAUUUAAGAAACAAUUUGGCUCAACAAAUGACAGUAUCAGGGAGCUAUUAUGAGUUCUAAGAACUACUGUCCUCCUGCUAUAGGUCCAGACAAGACUUUAGCAUGGCAGGCUGCCUCCUAGGGCUGGGUAGUCAAGAAGGGCUGAUAGUGGGUGAGCUAGUCAAGAAGCGCAGCAAAAUGAUGGUGAAAUACCACUUCAUACUUACUAGGAUGGCUACUAUUAAAAAAGAACACACACACAGAAAAUAACAGAUGUGGGCAAGCAUGUGGAGAGAUUGGAACCCUUGGACACUGUUGGUGGGAAUGUAAAAUGGUGCAGCUAUAAUGGAAAACAAUACGGUGGAACUUCUAAAAAAUAAAAAUAGAAUUACCAUAUGAUCCAGUAAUUCCACUCUGGGAUAUACCAGAAUUGAAAGAAUUGAAAGGAAGAUCUUGAAGAGAUAUUUAUAUAACGAUGUUCAUUGCAGCAUUAUUUACCUUAGCCAAAAGGUACAAGCAAAUCAAGUGUUCAUUGAUGCACGAAUAAAAAAGCAAAAUGUGGCAUAUCCAUACAAUGGAAUAUAAUUCAGCUAUAAGAAGGAAUAAAAUGCUGACAUCUGUUAUAACAUGGCUGGACCUUGAUGACAUUAUGCCAAGUGAAAGUAGCCAGACAUAAAAGACUACAUCGUGUAUGAUUCCACUAACAUGAAGUACUUACAGCAUUCAAAUUCAUAAGGACACAAAGUAGAAUGGUGGUUUCCAGGGGCUUGGGGGCAAAGGGGAACAGAGAGUUAUUGCUUAAUGGUUAUACAGAGUUUGGGGAAGAUGAAAAUGUUUUAGAGAUAUGUUGGUUAUGGUUGCACAACAAUGUGAGUGUACUUAAUGCCACUAAACUCUACAUUUAAAAUGGCUGAAAUGUUACAUUUUCUGUUACAUAUAUUUCAUCAUAAUUGGAACAAUGUUUUUAAAGCUAAAAAAAAAAAAAGUCUAGCAGGAGAAGAACCCACAGGUAGCACAAACCCAAGUCCUUGGAGGAGGCUAGACACUGUGACUAAGCAAAUCACAUUCAUAUACCAGAUCAAGGGGCAGGGAAUGGGGCCCAACACUGAGGUCAGGAGCUGGUUGGUGUUAGAACAGAUGAUUCAAGGGAUUCGCUAAAGGAUUCUCUUUGUUGCCUGACUUUAGUGCAUUGCAGGGGUGAGUCAGACUCCAGGAUGCAAAAUCAGAGCAGAUAAGGGUUUUCCUUCUUCUUUUUCUCCCUCUCUUCAAGAAUAUUCAGUGGAGAUUUUAAACAGCCUAGAAUUCUCUAGUAAAGUGGUUUGGGGAAUAGAAUUAUAGACUUCAUCCUCUAAGCCCAUUGAAUUCUUCCCCAUCAUAAGCAGAGCCAGAUACAAGUGAGCACAUAACUUCUCAUGUUAGUGAGAAGCUAUUGAUUAUGGCUGGGACAUACGGCAAAACCAACAUUUCUCUCUCUAAUGCUAGUGUUGGGAGCUUUCAAAUCUAGAAGGACCAGCUGUGGUAUAUAGACAUCAGAAGAGGGGUGGUUAAGGUAGGGAGCCCCUAGAGCAAGUAAAAGUUAUAAAUCUAGGCAGGCAGUCAGAGUCAGGGGUGUUCCCAGGAGAGUUAUUAGAUCUCCAGCAAGGAAACACAGAUCAUGGGUCCAAGGAAGAGCCAGAGGGAGUGGAGUUUUAAAGAAGCCAGACUUUCGGUGCUGGUGUGUUUCAUGCUCUGUAUCUUUUCUCUCCUGUACCUCAUCUUGGUUCUUUGAAGGCUUUCUGGGUUUAAGGGAAUGUCUCCAGUUUGGGGAAAUGCUGGGUCCACUUUCUGCACUCUUUCUUGGGAGAGAAGAAAGAAAAACAACCCAAUAAAGAGAGAAUGACCUAAGAGAUAUCUCAAAAGACCAGGGACCAAAAGCGGAGAUUCCCAAAAAAACAUUCUGAGAAAGCAGAAAUAGUCAACGCUUUGCCCUUCCAUGGGAAGUUCCACUCUCUGAACGUGUUGGUCACUGGUUUGCUUUCUUCUCAGGGGUGACACAAGGCAUGCAGAAACCCUCGAGGUCCCCUGGAGGGCAGAGUAAACCAUCAACAACAGGUAGUCAGAGCCCAGCCUUAUGGUCUGGAAUUAAGCAUCUAGAAGGAUAGGGAUGACAGGGGGAGGGCAAGAACAGUUAGGACCUCGCUUCUGGAGUAGCUAGAAAAACAUGGAGAGAUGGAAACAAACCAAGGACUGGGACAUGAGGGAAGACAAGCUAGAAGCCCACUUGCCGGGACCAAUUUAUCACAUUAAUAUGGACUAGCCAAGAGGCUGACAAUGCUGUGUCCUUUUGGAGCAAUUAAAGAAAUUCCUGACUGACUCUAACUCAGGAGCAUCUGAAAAUGACCUGGUAAGGACAUUAUUAACAACUGAAAAAUAUCUACUGUAGAUUGAAUGCCAUUCAUGAGUUAGGCAGUUUUCAUUUACUCUCCCAUUUACUCUGGAUGGUAAGGAAGGUGUGACUAGUCCAUCUUACAGAUGAGGAGAGUGAGGCUCAGAGAAAUAAAAUUGCUCAUUAGCAAACAGUGGAAGCAGAGUGUAAGGGAAUUGCAUCAUGAUUGUACAUGCUUUCCCUUAUGCUUGUGAAUGUUUAUGAUCUGAACUUCAUUGUCUCAAGUAAGGUUUCUUCUCUUCGUCAACACCAGCUAUCCACGGGAAAAGUUAAAAUCCUACAUUGCACCUCUGCCUUGGGAGCCAAAUAAAUGGGUCCAUGUUCUUAUUGACAGCUGCCUUUCCCUCCUCUUCUCUGUGAGACUGUGGAGGUGUUUAUGAAUGAUAGAUCCCAUGCUCUGCACUGUCAAGUUGACUCUGGAUAUCUUUUAAUUCUCCUCUCUGGAAGAAAAAAAAGUUUUUUUCCUAAUAGAGCAACCACUUAACACUUGGAGUCUUUGAGAAGCAAAAUGGUGGUCUUCAGAUGGAUCCACAAAUUCCAUUCACCCCCAAAAGGACCUAUAAACGUGGCCGUCCACAAGAGAUUAGUCAAAAAUGCAUUUUUUUUUCCUGACAAAAUGAGUGGCAACAGUCUUUUGUUAGAAUGAUAUCAUAAAAAAUUGAGUUUAAAAGUCUGAUUCUUGUGUCUUAAUACUGGGUGUGAGAGGCAUAUACAUUCCUAAAUUUGUUGAGACAAUAUUUGACAAAGGUUUACAAUAAUAUUCAAGGAGUGACCUCCAUGGGCAGGGAAAGGGGCCUAGAAGUCCCCUCUCUGGAAACAGUCAUGAGUGGGCUGGACAAUCAUUGGAUGGAGACUGGGAGAGGUGGGCUGGACCUGGAGUCAACACCUACCUGCACACAACAAUCACCUGUGGUAAUUUACAAACUGAGACACUCAGAGUGAAGCUCAAGAACCUCUAUUUUUUAACAAGCACCUCAAGUUAUAUUCAUGUUGCUAUGCAAGCUCCAGUUCUCUGAGAAUCAUUGCCCUAGAUCACUGUACUCCAAACUUCCCUGAAAGUAAGAAUCAUCUGGCAGCACUUGUUAAAUGUUCACUACACCAGGCCUCUCUCAUGGACUUGGUGAUGACUUGUGUAGAGUCCAUGAAUCAGUGGGGUUUGGGAAUAACUGAACUAAAAGAUUAACAGAAUCCUUUAUACCACUAAGAUUUUGUAGCUUAGAUGAAAGUUUCCAUUUAAUUUUAGUUCUGCUCACAUACAGUGAGAGUAAAGACAGAUAACUUUGAAACAACAUGGGUGUCAUAGUCUGUUUUCUGUUGCUAUAGCAGAAUACCUCAGACUGGGUAAUGUAUAAAGAAAAGAGAUCUAUUUGUCUCACUGUUCUGGAGGCUAGGAAGUCCAAAAGCACAGUGCUGGCAACCAGCGAGGAUCUCUGUGUGUUAUCCCAUGGUGGAAGGGUGAAAGGGCAAGCAAGCACAUGAUACAGAGAAGAAAAAGGGGCCGAACUCCUGAUAACUCACCCACUUCUACAAUAAUGACAUUAGGCAUUAAUCCAUUCACAAGGGAGGAGCCUCAUGACCUAAUCACCUCUUUUUUUUUUUUUUUUUUUUUUGAGACAGUCUUGUUCUGUCUCCCAGGCUGGAGUGCAGUGGCAAGAUGACAGCUCACUGCAACCUCCGCCUCCCAGGUUCAAGCGAUUCUCCUGCCUCAGCCUCCCGAGUAGCUGGGAUUACACGCACACACCACCACACCUGGCUAAUUUUUGUAUUUUUAGUAGAGAUGGGGUUUCAUCAUAUUGGCCAGGCUGGUCUCUAACUCCUGACCUCAGGUGAUCCGCCCGCCUCGGUCUCCCAAAGUGCUGGGAUUACAGGCGUGAGCCACCACGCCCGGGCCCCUAAUCACCUCUUAAAGGUCCCACCUCUUACUACUGUCACAAUGGCAAUUAAAUUUCAACAUGAGUUUUGGAGGGAACAUUCAAACCAUAACAAUGAGGGAUUCUAUGAAGCAGGGUAAUAAUGCUAUGCUUCUCCUUUGCAUGUCCUCAACUCAUUUAUUUUUCUCUGUAGCACUUCACAAAAUCAGAAUUUCUACUUAGAUUCUACCUUCUCAGCAGCUGCUUUCUUCUUUCUCUCUCAUUAUGUAGUCCCAUGCCAGCACAACUUAGGGGCAGAAAAUGCAUUGAGAGACAUUUGAACACAGAAUGCCUGGCUCACCUUGAUGUGUUUUUCUUUUUUACAGGAUCUUCACUUUGUCUUUUGAAACUCCAGGCUCUUGGGGAAACUUAGCUUCCUUGGUAUCUUGCUGAUGCCUUCAAAUGGUUGUACUUAUUCUUGUUGUGUUUUUAUACCCAUCUUUUAUAGUUAUUUUCAGUGGAAGGUCUGUCUGAAACCAACGACUCCAUCAUGGUCAGAAGUGGAAGUCUGCCUGUUUUGGUUUUUAGUUGAUUUAAUAUAGCAGCCUUAGAGAUUCAUUAAAAAUUUAAGAUUAAAAGAACCGGAAGACAGUAAAGGUCAUAAAUGAUGUACCUUUUACAUCUGGCAGAGGGCCAGGACAGUUCUGGGGUUCAUAUUUCUCUCCUUCUCUACUCUGAGGUUUAUACGGCCCCCCCACCGCCCCCAAGAUCACCUUGAUGGGACAAUUUGGCCUAUCCAGGCAGGAUCAACAAGAGGAAUUCAAGGAGAAAGCAAAUUGUUUUGCAAAUAGAGUAAGAUAUGUUUUGCAUUUCCAAAGGCAAUGCAAGAAGGAAGGACAAACGGAGGUGGGAACAGGCUCAAUCCAAGACGAGGUGAGAAGAGCUAGGGAAGACAGAGAAUCCAAAGAGGGCAAGAGGCAGUGUGUAUCCUGUACGCCAGUGCCCCAGCUUCUAGCUAUAUUUUUGUCCCCACCAGGCCUGAAGCAUGACUCAGCACUUAAUUACAUUCCCAGAGGAAAAUCCACCUCACAAGCAUGACUGGUGAUUUCAGUGGAAGAGUCAGAAGAAGCUUUUACAUCUCGCACAGUCCUCAUCAAUUCCUUCCUGAUCUGUCCUUUCAUCUCAGUCCCCACUCAGAGGCUCUGCCUGCUGGAGAGAGGAGUGGGAGAAAUGUCCUUCUUCAAAGCCAGCUUCACAGGCCCAUAGCCGUUGAGGUUGCAUAGGGCCCCAAGCUGAAAGAGCCCCAUUUAAGAUUUAAUGCUGUGCUCAUGCCCUCUUAAAAUUAUUGCUGAACUCUGCUCUGUAAGUGAAGUCCAUGGGGCAGCAGCACAUGCGCAGGAGCAUGGAGGAGGCGUAAUAUGCAUGUCAGCUGCUCUUUGCUGCCCAUUCCCAUAGAACAUUUGCAAUGCCCCAGCAGCAGAGGAUGGAUGCUGGCGGUGAGAGGUGAAGCCGGCUGGGCUUCUGGGUGGGGUGGGGACUUGGAGAACUUUUCUGUCUAGCUAAACGAUUGUAAACGCACCAAUCAGCACUCUGUGUCUAGCUAAAGGUUUGUUACAGACCAAUCGGUCUGUAAAACAGACCAAUCAGCUCUCUGUAAAAUGGACCAAUCAGCAGGAUGUGGGUGGGUCCAGAUAAGGGAAUAAAAGCAGGCCACCCAAGCCAGCAGCGGCAACCCGCUUGGGUCCCCUUCCACGCCGUGGAAGCUUUGUUCUUUUGCUCUUUGCAAUAAAUCAUGCUGCUGCUCACUCUUUGGGUCCACAACACCUUUAUGAGCUGUAACACUCACCACAAAGGUCUGCAGCUUCACUCCUGAAGCCAUAGAGACCAUGAACCCACCGGGGAGGACCAGACAACUCCAGACGCACUGCCUUUAAGAGCUGUAACACUCACGGCGAAGGUCUGCAGCUUCACUCCUGAAGUCAGUGAGACCAGGAACCCACCCAGAGGAACGAACAACUCCAGACGCGCCGCCUUUAUGAACUGUAACACUCACUGCGAAGGUCUGCAGCUUCACUCCUGAAGUCCGCAAGACCACGAACCCACCAAAAGGAAAAAACUCUGGACAUGUUCGAACAUCAGAAGGAACAAACUCCGGACACACCAUCUUUAAGAACUGUAACACUCACCACCAGGGUCCGCGGCUUCAUUCUUGAAGUCAGCAAGACCAAGAACCCACCAAUUCCGGACCCAGUGGUUCCAUGGAGUGUGGAGGUUCAGCAAGACUCAAAGUGAGAACGUCACCAACAAACUGAGUAUGUCACCAACAAACUAAAUUCUUUCCCAAGUUGAUGUCGGUCUCAAAGAAAGAAUAUCCAAUUGGAAAAGGCCGUCAGGUUUCAUUCACUGGCCAGAGAAUGAAGAACGUGAUCUCUUGCUCUAAAUGCACCUUCUCCCUAAACAAUAGAAGGCGUGGGGUUGUGAAGGACUGGGUACAGGGAGGGAGAGGCAUUGUUAGCAUGUGGAGGGUGGGACUCCAGACACCCAAGCUCAAAUUUAUAAAAAUUUCUUCAUAUAUCACAUGUACACAAAAUGGUAGAGAUUUUCUU
rnacentral:lncRNA from 1 species